rnacentral:rRNA from 1 species
UGAGGAAUAUUGGUCAAUGGACGCAAGUCUGAACCAGCCAAGUAGCGUGCAGGAUGACGGCCCUAUGGGUUGUAAACUGCUUUUAUAUGGGGAUAAAGUGGGGAACGUGUUCCCUUUUGCAGGUACCAUACGAAUAAGGACCGGCUAAUUCCGUGCCAGCAGCCGCGGUAAUACGGAAGGUCCAGGCGUUAUCCGGAUUUAUUGGGUUUAAAGGGAGCGUAGGCUGGAGAUUAAGUGUGUUGUGAAAUGUAGACGCUCAACGUCUGAAUUGCAGCGCAUACUGGUUUCCUUGAGUACGCACAACGUUGGCGGAAUUCGUCGUGUAGCGGUGAAAUGCUUAGAUAUGACGAAGAACUCCGAUUGCGAAGGCAGCUGACGGGAGCGCAACUGACGCUUAAGCUCGAAGGUGCGGGUAUCAAACAGG